rnacentral:lncRNA from 1 species
GAAGUCCGAGCAAAGAUGGGAAGCUUUGUUUUCAAAUAUAAUGGGAGGGGCGUGUGGAAACAGACCUGGCAAAACAAAGGCAGAUUGAUGUUUCUGUUUGCGAUACCAGUGGAGAGGAGGGGCUGGAGUGCUAUAUGGCACAAUCUCAGCUCACUGCAACCUCUGCCUCCUGGGCUCAAGCAAUUCUCCUGCCUCAGCCUCCCGAGCAGCUGGGAUUACAGAUUCAUGCCAGGCUCAGAGCCUGUCCCGGUGACAGACGCCCAAACACCUUGAUGGCCGAGGAAAAGUGGAGCGAGGAGGGCUCUCUGAAGAUGGGAGCGUGUGGGUGGGACAAGUACAGGCAGCAGUGGAAAUGAAUUCACUUGGGAUGGAUUCCAAGGUUGUCUACACCUGGAGCAGUCACAGGCUUCAACAUAUCUUUAAGUGUGGUGCCACCAGUAGCUGAAUUCAGGCCAUUCCACGCCCAGCCACUGUUUCUGUUCAGGCCAAGGGAGCUGAUGCGGGAACUCACCAGCACUGUGGGAAGCAGCUGCUCAUUGUCCUUUG